AUGAAACUCCUCGUAUGGAACUGCCGCGGGAUGCAAAAACUUGCGGCAGUUCGAGCGCUCUUGGGGGUCCAAGAGCGGAUAAAACCGGAUGUGUUGUUCCUGUCUGAAACACACCUGGAUAAAGCUAAGGCAGGGAAACUGAAAAGGAGGUUAGGGUUUGAUGAGAUGGAAGUAUCGGAAAGUGACGGUAGAAGUGGUGGACUGAUCAUGUUCUGGCAUUCCAACCUGGGAGUCUCAUCCUGGGAAACUCGUGCAAACUUCAUCGAUAUUCGAAUUAAGGAGACAACUCCGGUGGGUUGGCAAUUCACAGGGUUCUAUGGUGAACCAAGAAGCGACCGGAAACACCUGUCCUGGGAGUACAUGUGUGAGCUUAGCACAAUGGCUGACCUACCAUGGCUAGUAGCAGGGGACUUCAACGAAAUAUUGCAUGCUCAUGAGAAAGAAGGAGGGGCGGCGCGCCCUCAACGCUGCAUGUAG
rnacentral:rRNA from 1 species